rnacentral:hammerhead_ribozyme from 1 species
AUCCAGCUGACGAGUCCCAAAUAGGACGAAACGCGCGUCCUGGA